ACGCCCCAAACACAGGCUUCCCUGGGCUGCCCUGCUCACGGCUGGGGCCAGGGUCUGGCUGGGGCCCGGGCGGUCUGGCUGCAGUUUGAUCACUCUUCCUCCAGGCCGAAAUCGGAGAGGCACUCUUCUUCCCCUUGACAGAGAGGCUGGUGCUAUUCCCAAAGAAUACAGAGGAGGUCUUAAACUCAUCACCGCCACAUUCCUGCUUUUGUAACAAAUCAGAGUAGCACCAUACACACUACCUCUAUUAUAUUUUCAUUAAUUUCAUUAAAAACUUCCCAAUUUCA